CUCCCGCCCGCACCUGAGGGCGGGCAGCGCCGGGCCCCGGCUCGACGCGGCGCGGUUCGCACUUACUCCGCGGGGCCUCCGUGGCGGCGGCGCGGGCCCGGCGGUGCCCCGGGAGCGGCGAAGACUACAUUUCUGCAUAGUGUAUGUGAAGGAGACCC
rnacentral:lncRNA from 7 species